AACGAACGCUGGCGGCAUGCCUAACACAUGCAAGUCGAACGAGACCUUCGGGUCUAGUGGCGCACGGGUGCGUAACGCGUGGGAACCUGCCUUUAGGUUCGGAAUAACUCAGAGAAAUUUGAGCUAAUACCGGAUGAUGUCUUCGGACCAAAGAUUUAUCGCCUUUGGAUGGGCCCGCGUUGGAUUAGCUAGUUGGUGGGGUAAAGGCCUACCAAGGCGACGAUCCAUAGCUGGUCUGAGAGGAUGAUCAGCCACACUGGGACUGAGACACGGCCCAGACUCCUACGGGAGGAAGCAGUGGGGAAUAAUGGACAAUGGGCGAAAGACUGAUCCAGCAAUGCCGCGGGAGUGAUGAAGGCCUUAGGGUUGUAAAGCUCUUUUACCCGAGAUGAUAAUGACAGUAUCGGGAGAAUAAGCGCCGGCUAACUCCGUG
rnacentral:rRNA from 1 species